ACCUGGCUGGCUCAGUAGGUAGAGCAUGCGACUCUUGAUCUCGGGGUUGUGAGUUUGAGCCCCACGUUGGAUU
rnacentral:tRNA from 1 species